rnacentral:rRNA from 1 species
AUUGAACGCUGGCGGCAGGCCUAACACAUGCAAGUCGAGCGGAUGAAGGGAGCUUGCUCCUGGAUUCAGCGGCGGACGGGUGAGUAAUGCCUAGGAAUCUGCCUGGUAGUGGGGGAUAACGUCCGGAAACGGACGCUAAUACCGCAUACGUCCUGAGGGAGAAAGUGGGGGAUCUUCGGACCUCACGCUAUCAGAUGAGCCUAGGUCGGAUUAGCUAGUUGGUGGGGUAAAGGCCUACCAAGGCGACGAUCCGUAACUGGUCUGAGAGGAUGAUCGGUCACACUGGAACUGAGACACGGUCCAGACUCCUACGGGAGGCAGCAGUGGGGAAUAUUGGACAAUGGGCGAAAGCCUGAUCCAGCCAUGCCGCGUGUGUGAAGAAGGUCUUCGGAUUGUAAGGCACUUUAAGUUGGGAGGAAGGGCAGUAAGUUAAUACCUUGCUGUUUUGACGUUACCAACAGAAUAAGCACCGGCUAACUUCGUG